UGUAGGAGUGAGCCUGCUCGCGAUCCGGUGUGUCAGUCACCUUCUUUGUUGACUGACACACCGGAUCGCGAGCAGGCUCACUCCUACA
rnacentral:antisense_RNA from 1 species